rnacentral:misc_RNA from 1 species
GAUGAAGAACGUAGUGAAAUGCGAUAAGUAAUGUGAAUUGCAGAAUUCAGUGAAUCAUCGAAUCUUUGAACGCACCUUGCGCCCUUUGGCCAUUCCGAAGGGCAUGCCUGUUUGAGUAUCAUGAACACCUCAACUCUUUAUGGUUUUCCAUGAUGAGCUUGGACUCUGGGGGUUUUGCUGGCUCACAGUCGGCUCCUCUAAAAUGAAUCAGCUUACCAGUGUUUGGUGGGUAUCAUGGGUGUGAUAACUAUCUACGCUUGUGGUUUUUCCACCAGGUAACCUUCAGCAGUGGAGGUUCGCUGGAGCUCAUAGAUGUCUCUCCUCAGUGAGGACAACCCUUUGAAUGUUUGAUCUCAAAUCAGGUAGGACUACCCGCUGAACUUAAGCAUAUCAAUAAGCGGAGGA